CUUUUUUUUUUUUUUUACUUCUUUUUGGAGUAGUGUAACCCAUAAAAGCACCAUUCUAGAGUAUGCUUUGAGGCAUAACCAAUUAUUGGGUUAGUGUGUUUUCACUUAUUUAUCCACAAUGCAUCUAUUGGUGCUGUCAUUUUUAUCUAAUUUUAAUAUCUAGGGAUAUGAACAGCAACACGUAGAGGGUGAGUGUUGUGGAAAAUGAGUGCAGACUAAGUGUAUUAUACAUACAUCUCACAGUUCCAGUCUCAUUCUGAACGUAAAUAUGCUCUACAUGUUACCUCUCUACCAAACUGUGCAUCUGAAAUGUCAGCAACCUGAAGCAAAGACAAUCUACAGUAUUUUGGUAUGAGGGAAGCAUUAAUGAAAUCAAUUUUUCUUCUAGGCUUUUUCUGGAAUGAUAAGCCUGUAAUAUCAUGGAAAAGUUUUUGUGUUGUUUAUUUAGUUACUUAUAUGUUGAUGAUUAUAAGCUUGAAAUUUUCUCCGUUAUUUAGUUUCUGUGCACUGAAGAAUGUUAGAAACACCUGCACGUGAAACAAUGUUACUGCCGCUAUUUAGCUUUCCCUUUGUUUGUAUUGUUAAUGUGCUUUAAGUGCUCCGGGCACUUUCUUUUUCUAGGGAAGUCCCACGAGAUUCUCUCCGCUUGUGGCAAACUGCAAUGUAUGUAAAAUUAUGUAUUCAAAAUUGCUCUUAACCUAAAAAUAAUUGACUGAGAAACAAUAUGAAAGUCAUUUUCAGAGGAGAGGAACGUUUCUCUGAGUUUCCUUCACCUCUUUCUAUCACAUUUUGUAUUUCACUUGCAGCCUGGAGAGUUCAUAAACGAUCCUUACAACAACUGCACCAUUUAUAGUUGUACACAUCUCAAGAACCAGCUUAUCUCUUCCACAUCUGAAAUUACAUGUCCUGCAUUCAAAGAGGAGAACUGCUAAACUGCGUACCUCUGGAUAGCACCACGCCAUGCUCUGUCCGUGAGAGAAAAGACUUUAUUGUCUAUAAGAACUGCCGUUCUCUGAAGAGAGUUGUCCUGACUGAAUGUGAAGGAACACGUGCAACUUUUUCUCUAUUCCUGAAGGUGGCUUGAAGAACUGCGUAUCCCAAAUAUCUCAACCUAGAAGCCAGUCUCUCUGAUAGCUACGAGAUAUUUUGAGACUUCAGGUUAUAAAGUGCCAAAGGGAAUGAGAAGCAGGGGGUCUGGCAGGUGACUGCGUCUAAGUCAGAUAACAGACUAAUGCCAGGAAAUGAAGCGCUGGAAAUCACUGCCGACGGUGACUGGAGUUUCUCACCAUGUCGUCGAACGUGUGAGAAAUAGCACAGGUCAGCAAAGUGACAAGGGACUAUCGCAUCAAGGAUGGACGUGUACGAUCUGCUCACCGCUGUCCAGUAGCGCACCGCUGUGCUGCGCAGCGCUCGAAUGCCACUCCGGUGACUUUCCAGUGAAGAGCAAACAAUAUAUUUAAUGUGUUAAUUAUGUUGCCUGCAUAAUUAACAGAUAUUUAUAUAAUGAAAUAAUACGAUAUAUAUAUAUGUAUGUAUAUGUAUGUAUAUAUGUAUGUAUAUAUGAAGACAGGUUUUAAUUACAACUGCAAUGUAUUUUGUUUUUGUAUUGUACUGACAACUUCAGCUCUACUGAGGUGUAACAAGCGUGAUGCCUCGUCAACAUUACCCCAUCUCGCCUUCCUUGCAAUUGGAUCCUUUACACUGAAUUCUCAUCCUUUUUCUGUUUUAUUGUUGGUUUUUUUUUUGUUAGUUUGUUUUGUUGGUUUGUCGUGAUUCUGUUCUUUUUUUAAUGUAGUUUUGUUUUGUGUGUGUGUGUAAAUUUUAUAUAUACUGAAGUUAAGGUUGUUUUUGUAUAAACAUUUAAACUUUAAGAAGGAAUAAAAGAAAAGCUAAUUUUGGUUCUCAAACUCUCUCUUCUAAAACAUGCUGUAGAAAGAAAUUUGUGUUAAAUAAAACAGUUAGCUGUUAAAUGCAAACGCGUGUCUGUUUUCAUGGGGAGGGGAGAAAGCCCUGCUGAAAACGUAUCUGAAAUCCCACUCGCUGAGAGCAUCCGGCGUUUGCAAUCCGUUUCCCGUUUUCCUGUGUCGGGUUGAAGUUUGGGCACUACCGAAUCAGCACGAGUCCUGUUUUACUGACAUUGUCAGUUUCUGGGGGGAAAUACACUCACGCCCUGCGUGGCGGCUGUGGAACAAAGAUGCCGAUUCCGUACC